ACUCCUACGGGUGGCUGCAGUGAGGAAUAUUGGACAAUGGGUGGAAGCCUGAUCCAGCCAUCCCGCGUGCAGGAAGACGGCCCUAUGGGUUGUAAACUGCUUUUGUAUAGGGAUAAAUCAUCUUACGAGAUAGGAUGUUGAAGGUACUGUACGAAUAAGCAUCGGCUAACUCCGUGCCAGCAGCCGCGGUAAUACGGAGGAUGCGAGCGUUAUCCGGAUUCAUUGGGUUUAAAGGGUCCGUAGGCGGGCUAAUAAGUCAGUGGUGAAAUCUCACAGCUCAACUGUGAAAUUGCCAUUGAUACUGUUAGUCUUGAGUGAGUUUGAUGUUGCUGGAAUGUGUAGUGUAGCGGUGAAAUGCAUAGAUAUUACACGGAACACCGAAUGCGAAGGCAGGUAACAAAGACUUAACUGACGCUGAUGGACGAAGGCGUGGGGAGCGAACAGGAUUAGAUACCCUGGUAGUCCACGCAGUAAACGAUGCUAACUCGUUUUCGGGGUGAAGAACUUCGGAGACCAAGCGAAAGUGAUAAGUUAGCCACCUGGGGAGUACGUUCGCAAGAAUGAAACUCAAAGGAAUUGACGGGGGCCCGCACAAGCGGUGGAGCAUGUGGUUUAAUUCGAUGAUACGCGAGGAACCUUACCAAGGCUUAAAUGCAUUUUGACGUACCCUGAAAGGGGUAUUUCUUCGGACAGGAUGCAAGGUGAUGCAUGGUCAGCUCGUG
rnacentral:rRNA from 1 species